rnacentral:rRNA from 1 species
GAUGAACGCUGGCGGCGUGCCUAAUACAUGCAAGUCGAGCGAACAGACGAGGAGCUUGCUCCUCUGACGUUAGCGGCGGACGGGUGAGUAACACGUGGAUAACCUCCCUAUAAGACUGGGAUAACUUCGGGAAACCGGAGCUAAUACCGGAUAAUAUAUUGAACCGCAUGGUUCAAUAGUGAAAGACGGUUUUGCUGUCACUUCUAGAUGGAUCCGCGCCGCAUUAGCUAGUUGGUAAGGUAACGGCUUACCAAGGCAACGAUGCGUAGCCGACCUGAGAGGGUGAUCGGCCACACGGGAACUGAGACACGGUCCAGACUCCUACGGGAGGCAGCAGUAGGGAAUCUUCCGCAAUGGGCGAAAGCCUGACGGAGCAACGCCGCGUGAGUGAUGAAGGUCUUCGGAUCGGAAAACUCUGUUAUUAGGGAAGAACAAAUGUGUAAGUAACUAUGCACGUCUUGACGGUACCUAAUCAGAAAGCCACGGCUAACUACGUG